AGCGGCGGACGGCUGAGUAACGCGUAGGAACGUACCCCAAAGUGAGGGAUAAUCAUUGGAAACAGUGUCUAAUACCGCAUGUGAUCUUCGGAUUAAAGCUUCGGCGCUUUGGGAACGGCCUGCGUAAGAUUAGCUUGUUGGUGAGGUAAUGGCUCACCAAGGCGACGAUCUUUAGCUGGUCUGAGAGGAUGAUCAGCCAGACUGGGACUGAGACACGGCCCAGACUCCUACGGGAGGCAGCAGUAGGGAAUUUUCCACAAUGGGCGAAAGCCUGAUGGAGCAACGCCGCGUGCAGGAUGAAGGCUCUUGGGUCGUAAACUGCUUUUAUAUGUGACGAAUAUGACGGUAGCAUAUGAAUAAGGAUCGGCUAAUUCCGUGCCAGCAGCCGCGGUCAUACGGAAGAUCCAAGCGUUAUCCGGAAUUACUGGGCGUAAAGAGUUGCGUAGGUGGCAUAGUAAGUCGGUAGUGAAAGCGUGGGGCUCAACCCCAUAAACAUUAUCGAAACUGCUAAGCUAGAGGAUGAGAGAGGUUAUUGGAAUUCCCAGUGUAGGAGUGAAAUCCGUAGAUAUUGGGAGGAACACCGAUGGCGUAGGCAGAUAACUGGCUCAUUCCUGACACUAAGGCACGAAAGCGUGGGGAGCAAACGGGAUUAGAUACCCCGGUAGUCCACACCGUAAACUUUGGAUGCUAGCUGUUAUAGGUAUCGACCCCUGUAGUAGCGAAGCUAACGCGUUAAGCAUCCCGCUUGUGGAGUACGGUCGCAAGACUAACACAUAAAGGAAUUGACGGGGACCCGCACAAGCGGUGGAGCGUGUUGUUUAAUUCGAUGGUAAGCGAAGAACCUUACCCAGGCUAGACAUCCUCGGAAUUUUGUCGAAAGACGAGAGUGCCUUCGGGAACCGAGUGACAGGUGUUGCAUGGCCGUCGUCAGUUCGUGUCGUGAGAUGUUUGGUUAAGUCCAUCAACGAGCGCAACCCUUGCGAUUAGUUGAAUUUUUCUAAUCAGACUGCCCUGGCAACAGGGAGGAAGGGGGGGAUGACAUCAGGUCAGUAUUACCCUUACACACGGGCUACAAACACGCUACAAAGGCCAGCACAAAGGGCAAGUCAGGCCAAUCCCAUAGCAACAUUCUCAGUUGGGAGUGCCGGUUGCAAUUGCAGGGCAAGAAUCGCGAAUUGGAAGUAAUCAUGGAUCAGCACGGUGCGGUGACUCCGUUCCCGGACUACGUUCACGGGUCCCGUCCCCCCACGAGAGUUUGUCACAACAGAAGUCGGUGGGGUAACCGUAAGGAGCCAGCCGCCUAAGGUGGGACAGAUGAUUGGGGUGAAGUCGUAACAAGGUA
rnacentral:rRNA from 1 species